GUGUCAGCCGCCGCGGUAAUACGGAGGGGGCUAGCGUUGUUCGGAAUUACUGGGCGUAAAGCGCGCGUAGGCGGCCUUGCAAGUUGGGGGUGAAAUCCCGGAGCUCAACUCCGGAACUGCCUUCAAAACUGCAAAGCUAGAGGAUGCGAGAGGUGAGCGGAAUUCCGAGUGUAGAGGUGAAAUUCGUAGAUAUUCGGAAGAACACCAGUGGCGAAGGCGGCUCACUGGCGCAUUUCUGACGCGUAGGCGCGAAAGCGGGGGGAGCAAACAGGAUUAGAUACCCGGGUAGUCCACGCCGUAAACGACGAGGGCUAGUUGUCGGGCGGCUUGCCGUUCGGUGACGCAGCUAACGCAUUAAGCCCUCCGCCUGGGGAGUACGGUCGCAAGAUUAAAACUCAAAUGAAUUGGCGGGG
rnacentral:rRNA from 1 species